rnacentral:ribozyme from 1 species
GAGAAAGAGAAGGACAGACAGACAGAAGCAGAGAAGGAGGCGCUUGUUCUUGUUAUUGAUUGAGUCUUUCUUUUCUUCUUUCUUUUCUCCUUUCUUUCUUUCUUUCUUUUCUUUCUUUCUUUCCUUUUUC